rnacentral:rRNA from 1 species
UACGUAGGGUGCAAGCGUUGUCCGGAAUUAUUGGGCGUAAAGAGCUCGUAGGCGGCUUGUCACGUCGGGUGUGAAAGCCCGGGGCUUAACUUGGGAAUUGCGGUUGAAACUGGCGGACUAGAAUCUGGCAGAGGGGGGUGGAAUUCCACGUGUAGCAGUGAAAUGCGUAGAGAUGUGGAGGAACACCGAUGGCGAAGGCAGCCCCCUGGGCUGAGAUUGACGCUCAGGCACGAAAGCGUGGGGAGCAAACAGG